ensembl:lncRNA
AGUUAUAAACGUGACUACUUCAACUACAGCAUCAACAACAACAACAACAACAGCAAUGACAAAUACAACAACCACAACAACAACAACCACACCGACAACAACAACAAAACCCUUGACAUCUACAACUAAAGUGCCUGCAACUACAACUACACAAUUUGUACCUGUGUAUCUAACAGCUCUGGUGUUCCGCUCUUUUGACAUAUUUAUAAUUGAACUCAGUAAUCAAAGCUCUCAGGCCUUCAAGACAAGAUCUGAGCUUGUCAGAUCUCAGCUCGAACCCAUCUACAGAGCAAAAUAUCCUUCCUUUAUCAGAGUGAUUGUCUUAAGUUUCCGUCCUGGGUCAAUCAUCACAGAAACUCAACUAGUUUUUAACUCCACACAACCUGUUCCAACCGUUCAAGAGAUUUCAGACUCCCUCCUGUCAGCAGUGGUAACAGGAGGUGUCGAUCCACUGAACAUAAUCCCUUCAACAGUUUCAGUCAAUGGUUCAGUUAUAGCUACGACUGUUGCUGCAACUACAGCUUCAAGUGGACUGAAGAUUGAAUCCAGCCUGCUCCAAGCAACAUGGCUCAUUAUUAUGGCAAAAAUAUUACAGUUUUUCCUAUAGAUCUCUUAACAAUGAAUGUGAGUUGCGAGAAAUGAAAGGCAUGUGGCAGGCACACAAUUAUAUUAUCAAAUUAUAUUAUUUUUGUAUGUGUGUUUGUGUAUUGUGGUAUUAAGUAUUGUAGCACACUCUUGAAAUAUGGCAAUGGCAAAAUAAGCAUAAGCCUGAAAUUGCAUUGAUUCUAAGGAGCACAAUUUGUAAUUAGAAAAAAUAAUAUAUGUAUAUUUAUUUAUCAGCAGGUUGUAGUAAUCAAUCAAAUAAGGAAAAUUCCUAUUUCCUAUUCAGUAUUUUAAAUGUAAUGCUUUUGUUCACUUGUCUGCAGGUUAAAGACUAUUUAUACUGUAAUUCUCUUUUGUCUAGUAUGUGCUAAUAUCGCAAGAACUUAUUUAAUCUUAUUAUAAUCAAAUAAACAUAUUUAUUAAGUUCA